CACCUUCUGCCCGCCUCAAAUCUAUACAUACAACAUCUAUACAUAUCCAUCUCUAUAUACACACACAAACACACAUUCUCUGCUAUACUUUAAACAAUUUCAUGAAUUACCCAUUUAAUAAAAUUGUCUCUUUAGCAAUACCCAAACCCUAGUUUUCUAUUUUGCGUGAGCCCAAUUCAUUUUCUUGAAAUAGGGUUUUGUAGUUCUUGGGGGUUCUUGAGAGUGAGGUGUUGUAAUUUGGGGGGUUUUGGGUCGAAUUUGAAGAAAUAUGUCGACCCAGAAAAGAAUUUCGUCGGGAAAAUCGAUGGUGGUGAAGAGGCAAUCGGAGAAUGUUGGAAAGGCUUCUGGGAUUGUGCCUAAGAAAAGGCCUGCAUUAGCUAAUAUCACUAAUCAGAGACAUGGGUCUCUGGCCAAUUCUACAAUUUCUUCCAAAGUGGUAUGCCAUUUU
rnacentral:lncRNA from 1 species